rnacentral:rRNA from 1 species
GACGAACGCUGGCGACGUGCUUAACACAUGCAAGUCGAACGGAAAGGCCCUGCUUUUGUGGGGUGCUCGAGUGGCGAACGGGUGAGUAACACGUGAGUAACCUGCCCUUGACUUUGGGAUAACUUCAGGAAACUGGGGCUAAUACCGGAUAGGAGCUCCUGCUGCAUGGUGGGGGUUGGAAAGUUUCGGCGGUUGGGGAUGGACUCGCGGCUUAUCAGCUUGUUGGUGGGGUAGUGGCUUACCAAGGCUUUGACGGGUAGCCGGCCUGAGAGGGUGACCGGCCACAUUGGGACUGAGAUACGGCCCAGACUCCUACGGGAGGCAGAAGUGGGGAAUAUUGCACGAUGGGCGGAAGCCUGAUGCAGCAACGCCGAGUGCGGGAUGACGGCCUUCGGGUUGUAAACCGCUUUCGCCUGUGACGAAGCGUGAGUGACGGUAAUGGGUAAAGAAGCACCGGCUAACUACGUG